AUGGCCGAAUAGGAACAGCUCCGGUCUACAGCUCCCAGCGUGAGCGACCCAGAAGACGGGUGAUUUCUGCAUUUCCAUCUGAGGUACCGGGUUCAUCUCACUAGGGAGUGUCAGACAGUGGGCGCAGUUUGGAGUUGUUGCUACCUGUGUCUACCCAGCCAAGGACUUUAUGCCUCAGGCCUUCAUAUUCAGGUAAAUCCACACAACCAGUUCUUCACAACAGAGAUAUGAGCAGAAUUGAUGGUGAUGCUCUGGGCUGGAGCCUAUAAGAAGCACGUGGGCCUGUCCAUCUUUUUUCCCUUUUGCUGGAAAGGAAGGCAUGUAUUGCAG
rnacentral:lncRNA from 1 species